rnacentral:tRNA from 1 species
CUACCUGAUAGCAGGUAUUGUAAGCGUGGUCGCCAGCUUCUACUUCGCGCCUGAGGAGGUAAGUAUAGGGGCUUCGGGUGCGAUCUUCGGUCUGGUAGG